rnacentral:rRNA from 1 species
CCUACGGGGGGCUGCAGUGGGGAAUAUUGGACAAUGGGGGCAACCCUGAUCCAGCCAUGCCGCGUGUGUGAAGAAGGCCCUCGGGUUGUAAAGCACUUUCAGUGAGGAAGAACGCCUGGUGGUUAAUACCCAUCAGGAAAGACAUCACUCACAGAAGAAGCACCGGCUAACUCCGUGCCAGCAGCCGCGGUAAUACGGAGGGUGCGAGCGUUAAUCGGAAUUACUGGGCGUAAAGCGCGCGUAGGUGGCUUGAUAAACCAGUUGUGAAAGCCCCGGGCUCAACCUGGGAACGGCAUCCGGAACUGUCAAGCUAGAGUGCAGGAGAGGAAGGUAGAAUUCCCGGUGUAGCGGUGAAAUGCGUAGAGAUCGGGAGGAAUACCAGUGGCGAAGGCGGCCUUCUGGACUGACACUGACACUGAGGUGCGAAAGCGUGGGUAGCAAACAGGAUUAGAUACCCCUGUAGUC